UACGUAGGGUGCAAGCGUUGUCCGGAUUUAUUGGGCGUAAAGAGCUCGUAGGCGGUUUGUCGCGUCGGAUGUGAAAACCCAGGGCUCAACCCUGGGCCUGCAUUCGAUACGGGCAGACUAGAGUAUGGCAGGGGAGACUGGAAUUCCUGGUGUAGCGGUGAAAUGCGCAGAUAACAGGAGGAACACCGGUGGCGAAGGCGGGUCUCUGGGCCAAAACUGACGCUGAGGAGCGAAAGCGUGGGGAGCGAACAGG
rnacentral:rRNA from 1 species